UUUCUUCCUACGAAUAAUAUACUUUUUACAAAAACAAACAUCUAUAAAAUACACUGUAGGCGAGCUUUAUUUAUAUUUUAUGAUCUCAAUAUUGAAUACUAAAAAUGAUGAAAACUUAGUUGUGAAGUAGCUUUUCUAUAUUUACAAACAUUUUCUACUCGAAGAAUCAAACUUUCCAGAUAAAUUGAGCAAUGUGCAUUACGCAUAUUAAAAUAUACAAAGUAUGUUUUUUAUAUAAAAUUUGAUUUACUAUUUUCUACCGUAAUACUCGAUACUAAUAUUUAUUUUUAUAUUCCAUACUUAUACUUGUAUUAAAAACUGUGAUUUACGAAAAAAGUUAUUGAUUGAUUGAUAGACUAGUAAAACAUAUUUAUAUAUAAUAUAUAUAUUUCAGAGAACAUGUGUCCUCUCUAUCCGUUACAUAUACUUGUUUUGUAUUGCUGUAUGCUCAUUCCUCUGUUCCUUGCUGUAGUUCAAGGAGCUGAAAACUUGGCUUCAUGGAACCUUAACUUCUCCGUUCCUAGUCUUGGUAAUGGGGAAAACAAACUACGAGAGGAAACCAGUCAAACCUUUGAUGUUCUCUGCUUCGACUGCCCUCAACUUGAGGAUGAGAAAUAUAUGUUGGAGUUAAAGAAUCAAGAUCCUGGGAUAGGAAUACUCAGCUAUCCGAAAACAGGAGUACAGCAGGAUGAGUCUGGCUAUCUUCAGCUGGAUAUUACUGGAUAUCCGGAGGAUUUCAACAUCAGUUUCAAUGUGACCGGCACCUUCCUCGGGUUUAGCAAGAUCUCUGCUAAAGUUGUUACUGCCAAAGACAAAACAGUUCAGGAGGUUGGAACCCCUGAGGAUCUACGGCUUACUGUAACUAGAAGUAUAGCAAAAAAGACCGCGAGCAAAAUCUUUGGUUACUCCGUGGCUGUUCUCAUCUCGUUCGCAUACAUCAAUAUGGGCUGCGCACUUGAUCUAGACGUUAUGAAGAGCGUUCUUAAAAGACCAAUCGGACCUGGGAUUGGGUUUGUGACUCAAUUCAUGUUCAUGCCACUGUGUGCUUUUGCGCUGACCUAUGUUUUCCCUAGUCAUAUGCCUGAAAUGAGACUCGGUCUCUUUGUUACAGGUUGCAGUCCUGGAGGGGGUGCAUCCAAUAUCUGGACAGUUAUGUUCGGAGGAAACCUAGAUUUGUCUGUGACAAUGACGGCUGUUUCCACCUUCUCUGCUUUCUUCAUGAUGCCUAUCUGGAUGUUUGCGCUUGGCGAGGUUAUCAUCGAAGACACGGAUAUUGUUGUACCGUACAGCAAGAUUUUAACCUACGGUAUUAUGCUGAUUGUACCACUAACCAUAGGAAUAGCAAUCAAGAGGUUUUUGCCACGUGUCUCUGCCUUCAUGGUGAAGAUAAUGAAACCAAUGGCUCUGUUCCUUAUCGUUUUCAUUCUAGUUUGCGGUAUUUGGUCCCAGUUCUUCAUGAUCCAGUUGAUCAGCUGGAGGAUUGCUUUGGUUGGGUUUGGUUUACCCUGGCUUGGCUUCGGUUUCGGUUGUCUCUUCUCAAAGCUCUGCAGAAGGGAGAGAAAAGACAUAAUCGCCAUUGCUGUCGAAACUGGAAUUCAAAACACAGGAAUGGCAAUCUUUAUGCUGUGGUUUACCCUGGACCAUCCGGCUGGAGAUCUUGCUGCUGUAGUUCCUGUAGCAGUUGCAACCCUUACUCCCUUCCCACUUCUAGCUGCUCUUCUUUACUACAAGUUGCGCUCCAUGUACUGCCCUUUGCUCAGAGAAGUUGAACUAGAGGAGAUGAAUAAGGACGGGUUUGAAACUACUCAGAGUCUCAUGGGAGAGAAGGGAUUGGAACCAAGCAUCAUCAAGAGUAAAGAAGAUUCAAAUCAGAAUAUUAAAGCAUAACUUCAAGACGGCUUCAGACGUUUUAGUCAUUUUAACAUAAAGGGGAUGGUGGAGUUGGCACAUUUGAUUUUUUUGACUUUGGUGUAAACCAAUUCAACUUUUAGUAACGGAAACUUGAAGUCUCUCUUAAAAUAAGUAUUAUUUUUGAUCUAAUCGUAAACGCACACCAAAAUUUUAUUUAGAUAAGCACCUCAAAUGUUGGGCAUCUUGUUAUAUGUUAAAAUUAGAUAUAUAUUAUUAGUUUAAGACCUACUUCAGAUUGAAGACGAUUGUAGUUCUGCUGACGAAGGUCGGAAAGUAUAUUAUAACGAUCUUACUGUAUGUCUCAAAGGCAAUAUUGUGAUCUAUUGUAAGCGUUAAAAUAUUUGAAUAAGUCGUGAAGAAAAAACUUUCUCAUACUUUUUAAAAUUGUCAAACAGCUAAAAGGACUCAAAACCUGAUUAAAAUCCGAGUUAUUAUUUGUGCUAAUAUCAAUCUUAGCCUAAACAAAGUCACAAAUGAUUGUAGUCCUUUUCUUUGUAGUUUUUGUUAGUGAUCGUAGGUUAAGUGUAAUAUUAAAAUAUUAAAUUAUUGUUUUAUAUUGAAUUUACAUGAUAAACUUGCACAAAGAA
rnacentral:misc_RNA from 1 species